GAUGAAGAACGCAGCGAAAUGCGAUAAGUAAUGUGAAUUGCAGAAUUCAGUGAAUCAUCGAAUCUUUGAACGCACAUUGCGCCCCCCAGUAUUCUGGCGGGCAUGCCUGUUCGAGCGUCAUUUCAACCAUCAAGCCCUGCUUGUGUUGGGGUCCUGCGGCUGCCCGCAGGCCCUGAAAACCAGUGGCGGGCUCGCUAGUCACACCGAGCGCAGUAGCACAUCUCGCUCAGGGCGUGCGGCGGGCUCCAGCCGUUAAAGCACCCACCUUUCGCAAGGUUGACCUCGGAUCAGGUAGGAAUACCCGCUGAACUUAAGCAUAUCAAUAAACGGAGGA
rnacentral:misc_RNA from 1 species